rnacentral:rRNA from 1 species
CUGAGAAUCUUCCGCAAUGGACGAAAGUCUGACGGAGCGACAUCGCGUGAGGGAUGAAUGCCUUAGGGUUGUAAACCUCAAAAAUUACCGAAGAAUAAAUGACAGUAGGUAAUGUAAGCCUCGGCUAACUACGUGCCAGCAGCCGCGGUAAUACGUAGGAGGCAAACGUUGCUCGGAUUUACUGGGCGUAAAGGGUGAGUAGGCUGGAUUAUAAGUCUAGGGUGAAAGACCGAAGCUCAACUUCGGAAACGCCUCGGAUACUGUAGUCCUAGGGUAUAGCAGAGGAUGAUGGAAUUCCUGGUGUAACGGUGGAAUGUAUAGAUAUCAGGAAGAACACCAAUGGCGAAGGCAGUCAUCUGGGUUAUUACCGACGCUGAAUCACGAAAGCUAGGGGAGCAAACA